rnacentral:rRNA from 1 species
GGAGGUUAGUGCAAUGGCAUAAGCCAGCUUGACUGCGAGCGUGACGGCGCGAGCAGGUGCGAAAGCAGGUCAUAGUGAUCCGGUGGUUCUGAAUGGAAGGGCCAUCGCUCAACGGAUAAAAGGUACUCCGGGGAUAACAGGCUGAUACCGCCCAAGAGUUCAUAUCGACGGCGGUGUUUGGCACCUCGAUGUCGGCUCAUCACAUCCUGGGGCUGAAGUAGGUCCCAAGGGUAUGGCUGUUCGCCAUUUAAAGUGGUACGCGAGCUGGGUUUAGAACGUCGUGAGACAGUUCGGUCCCUAUCUGCCGUGGGCGCUGGAGAACUGAGGGGGGCUGCUCCUAGUACGAGAGGACCGGAGUGGACGCAUCACUGGUGUUCGGGUUGUCAUGCCAAUGGCACUGCCCGGUAGCUAAAUGCGGAAGAGAUAAGUGCUGAAAGCAUCUAAGCACGAAACUUGCCCCGAGAUGAGUUCUCCCUGACCCUUUAAGGGUCCUGAAGGAACGUUGAAGACGACGACGUUGAUAGGCCGGGUGUGUAAGCGCAGCGAUGCGUUGAGCUAACCGGUACUAAUGAAC